rnacentral:tRNA from 1 species
GCCUGUUUGGUGCAGUGGUUUGUGCUUGGCUGAAGACCCAGAGGUUGCGGGUUCGAUUCCCCCGCCAGUAU